rnacentral:lncRNA from 1 species
UAAUCAUAGAGAAUAUUGAUAUUCUUGGUUAAAUUUAUUCCAAAGUUUUUAAUUGUUUUGUAGCUGUUGUGAAUGGGAUUGAUAUUAAAAGUUCAUUCUCAGUGAUGGCAUUGUCUGUGUCUACAAAGAUACUGACUUCUGUGUGUUAAUUUUCUAUCUUGCCACUUUGCCAAACUCUUUUAGAAGUUCCAAUAGUCUCUUAGUGGAAUCUUUUGGGUCCUCUCUAUAUAUAGAAUUAUGCCAUCUGCAAAUAGGGAAAGUUUGACUUCCUCCUUCCCAAUUUGUUUCCCCUUUUUUCUUAUCUAAUGGCUCCAGCUAAAAGUUCCAGGAUAUAUUAAAUAGUAAUGGUGAGAGUGGGCAUCUUUGUUUGGUUCUGGAUAUUAGGGGGGAUUCUUCCAGCUUUUCCCCAUUCAAUAAGACACUAGCUGUGAGUUUGUCAUAAAUUGCCUUGAUUGUGUUGAGGAAAGUGCCUUCUAUACCCAAUUUACUUAAGGUUUUGAUCAUGAAAGAAUGUUGUGUUUUAUCAAAUUCUUUCUCUGCAUUAAUUGACACGAUCAUAUUGUUUUGUUCUUCAGUUUAUUAAUGUGAUAUAUCACAUUUAUUGAUUUGCAAAUGUUAAACCAUUUCUGCAUAUCAGGGAUAAAUCCCACUUGGUCUAGGUGAAUGAUAUUUUGGAUGUGUUGGAUUCAACUGGCUAGUAUUUUCUUAAGGAUUUUGGCAUCAAUGCUCAUUAGGGAAAUUGGUCAAAAGUUAUCUUUCUCUGUUGUAUUAAUAUGUAGUUGCUUGGCCCUUCCAUUUUUCCAUAAAUAUUUCUAUUGUUUACUUGUUAUUUCCUUUGUACCUUUACUGGGAGAUGUUCUACAUUCACCUUCCUUCACAGUGAUGACCAUGUUUCUGUGUUUCUGUGUGUAGCACAUCUUUAAGUAUCUUUUGCAAGGCUGGAUGAGUGGUGAAAAAUUCUUUUUGUUUAAAAAAGAUUACUUGAAAGGCAGAGUUACAAAGAGGUAGAGGCAGAGAGAAAGGAAGAGGUCUUCCA